GAGUUUGAUCCUGGCUCAGGACGAACGCUGGCGGCGUGCCUAAUACAUGCAAGUCGAGCGGACUACCUGGUUGUCUUCGGACAACUAGGUGGUUAGCGGCGGACGGGUGAGUAACACGUAGGCAACCUGCCUGCAAGAUCGGGAUAACAUUCGGAAACGGAUGCUAAUACCGGAUACGCAGCANCCUCGCAUGAGGGAGCUGAGAAAGGCGGAGCAAUCUGCCGCUUGCAGAUGGGCCUGCGGCGCAUUAGCUAGUUGGUGAGGUAACGGCUCACCAAGGCGACGAUGCGUAGCCGACCUGAGAGGGUGAUCGGCCACACUGGGACUGAGACACGGCCCAGACUCCUACGGGAGGCAGCAGUAGGGAAUCUUCCGCAAUGGACGAAAGUCUGACGGAGCAACGCCGCGUGAGUGAUGAAGGUUCUCGGAUCGUAAAGCUCUGUUGCCAGGGAAGAACAGCGAGGCGAGUAACUGCGCUUCGUGUGACGGUACCUGAGAAGAAAGCCCCGGCUAA
rnacentral:rRNA from 1 species